rnacentral:rRNA from 1 species
UACGUAGGGGGCAAGCGUUGUCCGGAUUUAUUGGGCGUAAAGAGCUCGUAGGCGGCUCGGUAAGUCGGAUGUGAAACCUCCAGGCUCAACCUGGAGACGCCAUCUGAUACUGCCGUGGCUUGAGUCCGGUAGAGGAGCAGGGAAUUCCUGGUGUAGCGGUGAAAUGCGCAGAUAUCAGGAGGAACACCAGCGGCGAAGGCGGUUAACUGGCUCGACACUGACACUGAGACCCGAAAGUGCGGGGAUCAAACAGG